AAGGGGUGAAUUGACAAUUGUCAAAUUCCAGUAAGGGUUCGCGAUAUCUCCAUGUCGCACCGAGUUACCUAUUGGAAAUUAGCAUUUUCCAGAGGCUUGGUGCAAUACCACCGUGUCGCGUUGGGGUCUUAAAUCAGAUAUAAAAUUCCAAAUUGACCCAACCCUCCCCUUCCUUCUCUAUAUAUAUACCUUUUAAACCCUAAACUAUCCUAUUCUUUUCUCCUUAGGACCGCACAUCAACCUCCACCUCAAAUCUCUCUAAAUUCUCUUCUAAAGCUCAAUAAUUUCUAUUUUUCUCUCAAUAACUAAGGUAUUAUCAAGCCCCAACCAAUCAAAUGAAAGGUAAAGGCCGGUACUUCUACACCGGCAAGGAAAUAGAGCAGGACGUCAGAAAGCCAACUCACUAGGGUACCUCGGGCUCCACCACUUCAGCUUGGGCAGGUUCAAAAAUUUGGAUUUAAGGCUAUUAACAAAGCUAGAAAAUAGUGGUACUCGAAGCAUACUGAUGCCAAAUACAUCCCCAAGGUGUUGAUUGAUCAGGCAAGUUUACUGAGGGAAUACCUAUCCAUGGUAUGAUGAAUUGAGACAAUAAAUAUGAAUUUCAUCUUCCAUCAGCCUACUGAUUAUAAUUUGCACUUAGUUCGUGAGUUUUACGCCAACUGGGACCCAAGUGACCCUCAUCAUGAGUUAAAUAUUCGCGGGAAGGGAAUUUAUUUCACUGCUGUAGAUGAGUUGUUGGGUAUACCAGAGGCAAACCCAAACUUCUUAAGGCAGUUCAUUGUUACUUCCCUGUAGGCUUAUAUCAGGCAUCUGUGUGCAGGGUACAUUUCUCAGCUCGUUGGACUAGGCAUCAUGUCACUGUCCUAUAUUCUUUUUUUCCUUAUGCUUAGAUGAACAAGGAGGCCAGGAUAUGGGGUCGUAUUGUCUACUCUUGCUUGAUUUAAGGAAAGCAUAUGACGGAGGUUACUAGGGACCGAGUACGUUUGAUUUAUGCACUAAUGUGUGAUAAUGUUGAUGUUAAUAUGGGGCAUGUAAUUUUUUCUGCAAUAAAGAAGGCGUGCAACCAGGUGCGGCGCAUUUUGGUUUUGGAGGAUUAAUGACCCGAUUUCUAUGAAGGCACAGGGUAUAUGAGGAAGAGCUAGACUAUAAGCCCGAUGUUUUGACUCGCCUUGUGGAUAUCACUACAGCCAGGAGUGUAUCUGGGAAAAGUGGCCCAAUUUUAACCUUGGCUGAGCACCAAACCCGAGCUGAUGAGAUUUCAGCUAGAAUGUAUGGUUUGCAGAUGUUACAGCUGAAUAUUGGGGUAGACCAGCCACACCUGAGGAGCUCUGAGCUGUUACCCCCUUGGGCAUUAUGCUAAGACCUUGCUACGGAUCGGUCUGGACAUUGUGGAGCCUGUUGAUGAUGAUAUUCCUACUGAUGAGGAGCAGAGGUACAGAGAUUCAGAUGUGGAGUCGGAUGAGAAGGACCAGAAUGAUGAUAGAGCUGAUGAUGAUGGUGAUGAUGUGGAUGGGAAUGUUGAUGACAUGACUGCCAUAGUUUUAUUUAAGUGAUCAAGGGGUAUACUGCCACCCUACCAUAUGCUUAUUUGAAAGGACCGGGACAGUGCUUUAUUUAAGUGUGGGUGGUAGGUUCGUAUUUUGCUGCUUUAUCUUAUUUCUUUUUAUUCUGGCUGAAAAUUUUUUAUUUUUUGUUUUUUUUGCAAGUUUUAACUUUUUGAAACAUUGGUCUGUAAUAGUUAGUAACUUUGUGGAUUACAAUUUUCCCUCUUUGGCAUUUAUCACAUGUUGCCUUUAAUUCCAAGUAUUUGUUUUUAUUAUCAUUUUUGCCCUCA